rnacentral:lncRNA from 1 species
AAAGAAAAACCCUAGCUGCCCAAGACCUCUCCUCUACACAAGCCGCCAGCCACCUCCUCGACCACCAAACGACCACCCCGUAGUCCACCACCAUCUCCUUACGUUAAGACCACCCCAAACGACGACCAUAACUGGCCAGAAACUCGGCGGAAACCAGUACCCUACGACCAGCCCUUCCGUCGUGCUUCGUCUUCUUUAGCCUCAUCGUCUCUGAGCUUCACCCCACUGCCACAAACGACCUUGAGCCACUGCUCCUUGUCCCACCACUCUUUGCUGUCAAGAAACAGCCGGACACGCACCGGACAAAACCAGAUCUGACCGGACUUGCCUGCUUCAUCGACCUUUUAAGCUUUGCUUUCCAUUAGCGUUGUUCUGGUGUUACUCGUUGUGGUAGCGACGACGGAUUUUUGCACAUUUAGACGGACAUAGAUAGACAGAGAUGAGGAAGUUCUGAAGAGUGAUAUAGGGGAAGCCAUACGCCUCUACCAAGCUGCCAUGAAAACUAACCACAACUCAUUCUCACAUAACUUUCUUUUUCAUUUGUCUCAAACCACUUGAAGAGGUAACAUGAAUACACAGAUCCACAAUCUCUUAAGCUAAGUUGUUGGUUUUACUUCGAAACAUUGAUCCCCGCCGGAAAUAAGCAUUCAUCGAGGUCGUUGGAUUCACUGAGGUGCCAUUUGAGGUUACUGGUCAAAUUUCGGGUCGAUAUUUUCAGUCGUUGUACGCACCAAAAAUACGCAACAGUAAAGGUCUAACUCCUUCCCCUAUCUGUUAGCUUGUUUUAAUUUUAUAUACAUGUGAUGUUUAUUUGGGUGUGAUUCAAUGAAUAUUUUCGUGUUUGACUAUUAAAUAGCCUUAUUUUUGUCUUAGUGAUCAUGUUAAGUUUAGUUGCUUAAAUCAAGUAGAUAAUCUGUCGUUGGAG